rnacentral:rRNA from 1 species
GAUGAACGCUGGCGGCGUGCCUAAUACAUGCAAGUCGAGCGAACAGACGAGGAGCUUGCUCCUCUGACGUUAGCGGCGGACGGGUGAGUAACACGUGGAUAACCUACCUAUAAGACUGGGAUAACUUCGGGAAACCGGAGCUAAUACCGGAUAAUAUAUUGAACCGCAUGGUUCAAUAGUGAAAGACGGUUUUGCUGUCACUUAUAGAUGGAUCCGCGCCGCAUUAGCUAGUUGGUAAGGUAACGGCUUACCAAGGCAACGAUGCGUAGCCGACCUGAGAGGGGGGGCGGCAAGACGGGAAGAGAGACCCGGCACAGGCGACGAGGGGAGGCAGCGGAGGGGAGUUUGCGGCGAGGGGCUAAGGCUUAACGAAGUAACGCCGUGGGAAAGAUGAAGGUCUUGGGAUCGUAAAACCGUGUUAUGGGGGAAGAACAAAGGUGUAAUUAAUUAUGCCGUUCUAGAGGCUCCGUAAACAGAAGGCCACGGCAAACUAGGGC